rnacentral:rRNA from 1 species
AACGAACGCUGGCGGCAUGCCUAACACAUGCAAGUCGAACGAGACCUUCGGGACUAGUGGCGCACGGGUGCGUAACGCGUGGGAAUCUGCCCUUGGGUUCGGAAUAACACAGAGAAAUUUGUGCUAAUACCGGAUGAUGACGAAAGUCCAAAGAUUUAUCGCCCAAGGAUGAGCCCGCGUAGGAUUAGGUAGUUGGUGGGGUAAAGGCCCACCAAGCCGACGAUCCUUAGCUGGUCUGAGAGGAUGAUCAGCCACACUGGGACUGAGACACGGCCCAGACUCCUACGGGAGGCAGCAGUGGGGAAUAUUGGACAAUGGGCGAAAGCCUGAUCCAGCAAUGCCGCGUGAGUGAUGAAGGCCUUAGGGUUGUAAAGCUCUUUUACCAGGGAUGAUAAUGACAGUACCUGGAGAAUAAGCUCCGGCUAACUCCGUGCCAGCAGCCG